CUACGGGAGGCAGCAGUGGGGAAUAUUGGACAAUGGGGGAAACCCUGAUCCAGCAAUGCCGCGUGUGUGAAGAAGGCCUGCGGGUUGUAAAGCACUUUCGGUUGGGAGGACUGCUUCUAGCACUAAUAUUGUUGGAAGUUGACGUUACCUUCAGAAGAAGCACCGGCUAACUCCGUGCCAGGCAGCCGCGGUAAUACGGAGGGUGUAAGCGUUAAUCGGAAUUACUGGGCGUAAAGCGCGCGUAGGCGGCUAGAUCAGUCGGGUGUGAAAGCCCCGGGCUUAACCUGGGAACUGCAUCCGAUACUGUCUAGCUUGAGUACAGGAGAGGAGAGUGGAAUUCCACAUGUAGCGGUGAAAUGCGUAGAUAUGUGGAGGAACACCAAUGGCGAAGGCAGCUCUCUGGCCUGAUACUGACGCUGAGGUGCGAAAGCGUGGGGAGCAAACAGGAUUAGAUACCCCAGUAGUC
rnacentral:rRNA from 1 species